UACGUAGGGACCGAGCGUUGUCCGGAUUCAUUGGGCGUAAAGAGCUCGUAGGCGGCUGUUCAAGUCGAACGUGAAAACUCGGAGCUCAACUCCGAGCCUGCGUUCGAUACUGGACGGCUAGAGUCUGGUAGGGGGAUCUGGAAUUCCUGGUGUAGCGGUGGAAUGCGCAGAUAUCAGGAGGAACACCGGUGGCGAAGGCGGGUCUCUGGGCCGACAUUGACGCUGAGGAGCGAAAGCGUGGGGAGCGAACAGG
rnacentral:rRNA from 1 species